AGAUUCAUUAGAGUUACCCUGGGAUGUGGACAAUUCUAGUUGUAAACUGACUGAUGAGGCAUCAUUGUCGCUAAAACCAAGCUCAAGAAGAACAAGUCUAUACGGAUGUACUUGACUAUUUGAUCAUCAUGAAAAAGAUGGUUGGAACAGAGUUGAAAACAUCGGUGUAGUUCCAAGCUGAAAGACGCACUGUCCUUCCUGAGGUCAGAAGAGCAAUAUUAAGGGGUGUGAGUGAGAAAGAAGACAUGGAGAGGUGGCGGCACAGGAAACCCAUGGCAGUCUCAGGUCUGGCUGGAUUUUGGUUCUCCUACUCUUCUGUCUCUCCUCAGUGGUUCCAUUUAUCUCUGUCUCUAUUUGACCAAUGCUCAGAAAGGGCAGCAAACUUGGGUCCUGUAUGAUUACAAGUAUUUUAA